rnacentral:misc_RNA from 1 species
GUUCCUUGCAACAGCCGAUGUCGUUCAAUUAGAAACGAACGAUCGUUCGUCUGUGACGUGAGGGAAAGUAACGCGGAUUUCGAGGAAUCUAGAGAAAAAGAGAAGGAGAAGAAGGUAGCAGGUGUCGUUUCCUGUGGCGAGCAACAUCAAGUAUAUGGAAAUCGAAACCGCUUCUGCACGGCUUCGUUCCACUAUAGAAUGGAAAGUCGAAAGUGAUCGAUUUCAUUCUCUUACGGACCGCUUUUUUUCUUCGAUUGGACUGUUAAUUCAAAUUCGUUCCGUAUUCAAAUAUAGAGAAAGAUAAGUGGCAAAGGAUAAAAACAGUUUUUUAAUGGAAAGGAAUAUAUAUUCCAUAUGAAUAAAGUGAACAAAAAUGAUUUAAUUAUGA